CGUAGGUGGCCAAUUAAGUCAAAUGUGAAAUCCCCGAGCUUAACUUGGGAAUUGCAUUCGAUACUGGUUGGCUAGAGUAUGGGAGAGGAUGGUAGAAUUCCAGGUGUAGCGGUGAAAUGCGUAGAGAUCUGGAGGAAUACCGAUGGCGAAGGCAGCCAUCUGGCCUAAUACUGACACUGAGGUGCGAAAGCAUGGGGAGCAAACA
rnacentral:rRNA from 1 species